GUGAAAUGAUGAUUAUGUUUAUCCAUUCGCUGAGUACGCUGCACUGACCUUCUUCCCAGUCUCAGUUCCUGUUUUGGGAACUUGGGGCUGAGUAGGCUCCAAAUGCCCUGCUGUCUGCAGUGUUCUACUGUGGAUUGCUUGUGUGUUGGUAGACUACUACUGGUAAGAAUGGCUAGUGUCAGCAGGGAUGGGCUCUCCGGAUUCCAUCUCACCAAGAUGAGUGGUGCAAAUCUGAUCAC